UUUAGAAUAGAUCUUUGUAAAAUUUGUAAGGCAAAUUUGAAAUCAUCUCUACUCUGCGCACAUAUUUUCAGUUCAAUUUUCCGACCACUCUUUAACUAAUGACAUCGCAUUUACCAACUUACGUAUGGUUCCACAAUGCACAAUCCCAUAGGCCGCCAUCUUAAAUGAGUGCACGGC